CGUUUCCGGAACCGGAAGUCUUUGUAAAGAAAGGCGCCCGAGGACUUCCGGCGGCAUGGAUGGUGAAAGGGGGUGCGCGUGUCUCUUCUCGCUCACAAUGAGGCAGGGGGAGAGGGAGGUCUCGCUGGGGGUCCCAUCACCUCACCUUCCUCGGCUUGGCUCAGCUGCGCCUGACUGGCGUUGUAGUCCAGGGUUUCCUGCCUGAGUAGGGGGUCGGACUAGAAGACCUCGAAGGGCCCUUCCACAACUCUCGUUCUUCUGGCGGCCUCGCCCUGGGAGGUUUGCGAGCGACGGGAUGUGCAGGAACCUCUACAAGGAAGGAGAUCCUGGAGCUUCUAUUAGACCAAUGUGGAGAGCAGUAGUAGCAGGAACACGGCAGGCAAAGAUGGCGUCCUUGGUCGGAGUACCCGCAACACGUUUUGUCAAAUUCCUGGAAGGCAAUGGAUGUCUCAUUGAGAACAGCUCCUUUGAGAGCCAUCUAUCCUGCAUCUAAGGAGAAGGUUCAGAUUAGGCCUCCCUCUUCAUCCUCCUCCUCCUAUCUUCACCACCACCAUCUGGUCAAGUAGGCCAGCGGUCCUGGUCUUAAGACUUUAAUUAGCCAUUACGACGCACUUCCUUCUAGAUUCCUUGAGUUGAAAUUGUUGCCUUGGCUGGAAAGAGGUUCUCCAAACGACGAGCAGCUCAAACCAGAAGAACCAGCGAAAGGAGCACGAGACGAAAGCGAGAGAGAUGCCGAGGGGAAGCAGCUUUGGGGCUCGGCCAUCGGCAGUCUGUAGAGCGAGGUUCUUCCGUCAACCACUUCCAGCUCUUCUUCAGGGUUGCGAGGUCUUACCCGCUCCACUUCCUGCGGGAUUGUUGGACAGGGCAUCCUUCACUUCCUCCAAUUGUCCCAUUUCCUCCUCAAACGAAGGGCAGGACGUCAUGUCUCCCGUCUUCACCCCUGCAUGCUGUUUUCUUACGCCAAGGCUGAUUUCUUGUGGUGCUGCAACACCUCCAGGGGCCCGUCUGCACACACCUGCUCCUUAAUCCGAGAGGGAGGAUUGCAAGGGCCAGGAGUAUCUUCCUCCUCGGCCAAGGUCAUCGCAGUAGGAACGUGGUUUCUGCAGCUCUCCUCUUAAAUUGCGGGUACCGUUUUUGGUGGCCGUAGCUUACAAUCUUAAUCCCCUUUUCGUCCCCUUGCUGGCCGGGUUUGCUUUCACGUCUACCUUCAUUCCCCUGCAGCUCCUGCCGAUACCUGGUCACCCCGUCGUAGUCUCCUCCGAUGCUUCAACAACGCGCUUUAUGCAGUCCCAUGGGGUCCGUGGGUGAGGAGGACGAGAGGCUGGCUGUUUUCUGUGUGUCUCAGUCCCCCACACAAGCACCCCCCCCUCUUGUGUAAUUCCUGCCCUCUAUGCCGUUCUUGCUCAUACUGGGCCAGGCUGCUAAGUCAGGCGGGUUGUAAAAAGAAUCACUGUUGGGUCAAAGAAGCGUUAUCUAUCUGCAAUUAAACAAUAAAAAGUAUGAGCCAAAAGGGUUCACAGUGCCUUUUCCAAAA